AACGAACGCUGGCGGCAGGCUUAACACAUGCAAGUCGAACGCUGUAGCAAUACAGAGUGGCGCACGGGUGAGUAACGCGUGGGAACGUGCCCUUUAGUGCGGGAUAACAUCGGGAAACUGAUGCUAAUACCGUAUAUUCCCUGAGGGGGAAAGAUUUAUCGCUAAAGGGUCGGCCCGCGUUAGAUUAGGUAGUUGGUGGGGUAAUGGCCUACCAAGCCUACGAUCUAUAGCCGGUCUGAGAGGAUGAUCGGCCACACUGGAACUGAGACACGGUCCAGACUCCUACGGGAGGCAGCAGUGGGGAAUAUUGGACAAUGGGCGAAAGCCUGAUCCAGCCAUGCCGCGUGAGUGAUGAAGGCCAUAGGGUUGUAAAGCUCUUUCGCUGGGGAAGAUAAUGACGGUACCUAGAGAAGAAGCCCCGGCUAACUUCGUGCCAGCAGCCGCAGUAA
rnacentral:rRNA from 1 species